GAUGAACGCUGGCGGCGUGCCUAAUACAUGCAAGUCGUACGGAAAGGCCCUUCGGGGUACUCGAGUGGCGGACGGCUGAGUAACGCGUGGGAACGUGCCCCAAAGUGAGGGAUAACGCACCGAAAGGUGUGCUAAUACCGCAUAUGGUCUUCGGAUUAAAGCUUCGGCGCUUUGGGAGCGGCCCGCGUACGAUUAGAUAGUUGGUGAGGUAAUGGCUCACCAAGUCGACGAUCGUUAGCUGGUCUGAGAGGAUGAUCAGCCAGACUGGGACUGGGACACGGCCCAGACUCCUACGGGAGGCAGCAGUAAGGAAUCUUCCACAAUGGGGGCAACCCUGAUGGAGCAACGCCGCGUGCAGGGUGAAGGUUUUCGGAUCGUAAACUGCUUUUAUAAGUGAAGAAUAUGACGGUAACUUAUGAAUAAGGAUCGGCUAACUACGUGCCAGCAGCCGCCGUAA
rnacentral:rRNA from 1 species